GAUGAACGCUGGCGGCGUGCCUAAUACAUGCAAGUCGAGCGAACGGACGAGAAGCUUGCUUCUCUGAUGUUAGCGGCGGACGGGUGAGUAACACGUGGAUAACCUACCUAUAAGACUGGGAUAACUUCGGGAAACCGGAGCUAAUACCGGAUAAUAUUUUGAACCGCAUGGUUCAAAAGUGAAAGACGGUCUUGCUGUCACUUAUAGAUGGAUCCGCGCUGCAUUAGCUAGUUAGUAAGGUAACGGCUUACCAAGGCAACGAUGCAUAGCCGACCUGAGAGGGUGAUCGGCCACACUGGAACUGAGACACGGUCCAGACUCCUACGGGAGGCAGCAGUAGGGAAUCUUCCGCAAUGGGCGAAAGCCUGACGGAGCAACGCCGCGUGAGUGAUGAAGGUCUUCGGAUCGUAAAACUCUGUUAUUAGGGAAGAACAUAUGUGUAAGUAACUGUGCACAUCUUGACGGUACCUAAUCAGAAAGCCACGGCUAACUACGUGCCAGCAGCCGCGGUAAUACGUAGGUGGCAAGCGUUAUCCGGAAUUAUUGGGCGUAAAGCGCGCGUAGGCGGUUUUUUAAGUCUGAUGUGAAAGCCCACGGCUCAACCGUGGAGGGUCAUUGGAAACUGGAAAACUUGAGUGCAGAAGAGGAAAGUGGAAUUCCAUGUGUAGCGGUGAAAUGCGCAGAGAUAUGGAGGAACACCAGUGGCGAAGGCGACUUUCUGGUCUGUAACUGACGCUGAUGUGCGAAAGCGUGGGGAUCAAACAGGAUUAGAUACCCUGGUAGUCCACGCCGUAAACGAUGAGUGCUAAGUGUUAGGGGGUUUCCGCCCCUUAGUGCUGCAGCUAACGCAUUAAGCACUCCGCCUGGGGAGUACGACCGCAAGGUUGAAACUCAAAGGAAUUGACGGGGACCCGCACAAGCGGUGGAGCAUGUGGUUUAAUUCGAAGCAACGCGAAGAACCUUACCAAAUCUUGACAUCCUUUGACAACUCUAGAGAUAGAGCCUUCCCCUUCGGGGGACAAAGUGACAGGUGGUGCAUGGUUGUCGUCAGCUCGUGUCGUGAGAUGUUGGGUUAAGUCCCGCAACGAGCGCAACCCUUAAGCUUAGUUGCCAUCAUUAAGUUGGGCACUCUAAGUUGACUGCCGGUGACAAACCGGAGGAAGGUGGGGAUGACGUCAAAUCAUCAUGCCCCUUAUGGUUUGGGCUACACACGUGCUACAAUGGACAAUACAAAGGGCAGCGAAACCGCGAGGUCAAGCAAAUCCCAUAAAGUUGUUCUCAGUUCGGAUUGUAGUCUGCAACUCGACUACAUGAAGCUGGAAUCGCUAGUAAUCGUAGAUCAGCAUGCUACGGUGAAUACGUUCCCGGGUCU
rnacentral:rRNA from 1 species